UAGGUCACACGGACGACAAAUCACUUUAACAUAGAAAGGAAAGAAGAGGAAGAGACAGGGGAAGUAAUGAAAAAUCCGAUAAUUCGAAAAUUAGAUUCAUAAAAAUAUACCAUGCUCGGCGUGUGUGAAUUAUAAAUGAUCGAAAAAGUUGGAGCAGUCAACGAAUCGAAAGGAUCAUAAAACAGCGGAAGAAAUCUCGAAGUGUCGAGGAGCAUGGUUCGGAGAAAGGGCACGAUCCUCGGCGACCACCAGCGUGCAGCAACCGUUUACUCAAUGGGAACUCCCGAAAAGAGUGGUGAAGAGAGAUGAAGAGAGAGAGAGAGAGAGAGAGAGAGAGAGAGAGAGAGAGAGAGAGGACAACGGAUGGAAAAAGCGGGAGAAAGAGAGAACGCCGAUACUGGAUUCUUCCAUGAAUUUUCCAACAAUUUUGCGCCGCAGCUGCGAAGCUUGCACUAAAAAAGAGCGCGUUGAAUUGAAUUGUCACUAUGUGAUCCGCGCCAUGACCCGUGUAAUUUAAUUCGUCUCGAUCAAGAUCAAUUUGAAUCGGCGACAAAAAAAAAGCGUAUUUUAUAUAAAGAAUGAAACAGUAUGUGUCGGAAAAGUCGCGAACCGUUCGUCCUUUGGUACGCAAUAUCAUAAACGAGAGUUUCGAUUCUUUUAAAUUUAAAAGGUAUUUAAAACAAAAAAUAAAGAGGGACAAAUAAAUAUGAAAUCUAUACGGGAGUUGGCAAAUUCAAUUUGCUUAAUUGGUCGAGGCGAGUUUUGAUAAAAAUUGGCAAACAAGAUAUGAUUAGUGCGAAAGUGCCGCUUCGCGAGGAUUAGUGCUGCAACCUUUUGUUUGCUUCGCAACCGUUCGCCUCUCAUUAACGCUAAGAAUCAUUGUUUAAUCCUAUUCUACCUGUUCGGAUUAUCGGAUUAUUUAAUCGAAUUAAAAGGAUGGCAUCCUAAGACGACGAAACCACUUGCGUAUGGUUAUUUUCCAUUUAUAUUAGGUUGCCCGAAAAGCUCCUUUCGUUUUAUAAGGAAAUAAUAGACGCACAAUGUUUUUUCUUUUAUAUUAGUUUAUUGAAUUAUACACGAACAUAAUAAUAGAAAUAUGACGGAGUAGAUCAUACCUAAUUCGAUAAAAUAAUACAAAACAGAAAUUGUUGUUCAUCUAUUAUCAUCUUAUGAAACAAAAGAAACUUUUCGGACAACCUAAUAUAUAUUUUACUUUUUCUUUUAAGCGUUGUAUUCCUUAACUUACUUUCUUAUUGGCAAAUCAGAAAGAGGACAAGAUGAGUCUCGAAUAUAUAACAAGACGUCGUAGGAAUGAUAUUUUGCAUGCACUAAUGAUAAUUUAAAAAGUUGACGAUUGACGGUAUAACUCUCUUCAACGUUCGAUUAAUAAAUUUAUAAAUCGCAUUACUCGAUCCACUAAUAUUCAUUUAGACAUGAAAAAUCACAAACAGUAUACACUAUUAAUGCAUCGAUCUAAUAUUUAAAUGAGAUUAACGCUUUCAAUGAAGUUGUUUCGUCGUCGUCACGUUUCUGUGAAAAAAGAAUGUCACGAUUUUGAAAGAAAAAGACUAGGUAGGAAAAAUAUUUUGCAAAUCACGUUAAAAAUAUUGGAUAUCUUUAGAGGAAAAAAUUUGUAUGUGUUGAUAAAUGAAUCUAAGACGAAGGAGGUUAUAGGUGGCGACAAAAAUCGACGGUUAAUUGUUCUUUAACCGAACCGACACGUCGUGCUUUUGCUCGGUUUCUACCACUAGUCUCAACUCUAAAUCGUUCCUUAACUUCCCGCCUAAUGUAAUCAGCGUUGAAGUAAUUAAGGUCAUCAAACUCGAGAAGCGGUUUCCUUGGGCGGGAGAGAAGCGAACAGGCGUCCGCCACGUGUUAUCGAAUCAAAGUUUUCCUUUUUAUCGUUCGACCAACUUUUCCCUUCUGUUUCGCGUGUGUACCGCGACUUUCGACAGGGAAAACCGACAGUGUACUAUGGCGUUUGAUGCACGCGACGUAUAAUUUCUGCAUGAUCGUUGAUGGGGAUGAAUGGGAAUGGCGAUUGUAUUUCGUCGAUCUUUCGAAUUUUCUGGAAAUUUUUUUACAAAGUCUGAGAGCUUUAUAUAAAAAUACGAACAUUGACUGAUGUUCGAACCAUUAGAAAUGGAAUAGAAUAUGUAGAAAUGUUUCAUCCCGAUUCCAGAUUUUUCAUGUCAUACGACGUAUCUGGCAGGAACAAAAAGAUUUGAUAACAUAUUCGAAUGACGCUGAGCGAAAUAUUUUGCAUAAUUUGCAUCUACUUUUGUUACCAAUUAUUACUACAAUUACAAAAAUAAAUUAAUUUCAGUAGGAAAUAUUUCUUGGAAGGAAA